rnacentral:lncRNA from 1 species
CAUAGAAUUAUUUUACAGUAAAAUAUGAAAACUUACCCUCUUCUCCCCUGAUCUGCUCUCCAGAGAUAACCAUUAUUAAUAAUUCCAUGUGUGUCCUUCCACUCUGUUUUUCUAGGCAUAUGAAAAUACAUACAUAAACAGCAGGUGUUCAUUUUUAUUUAAAAACAAUUGUUUGGCUAACACACACACAGCAUGCACAUUUUUUGCAGGUCAGCCCAUAGAAAACUAUCUCCUUUGAAGUGACUGCCUUUGUUUUCUUUAUAAGAUAAACCAUACUUUUAAAUUUAAGUGCCUUCCUAUUGAUGCACAUUAUAUUGUUUUCAUUGUUUUACUAAUGAAAACAACACCAGAACCAAUGUCGUUAUACAAGUAGCCUUGCAUAUUCGUAGAAUAUUUUUAAGCAUAAUAGAUGGACCCUAUAGCCCAUUUCCCCAUGAUAUGAAAGCAGGAAUAAAGCAAGGUUGAAAGGAUAGCCUCAGAGCCAUGAUGGCAAAUUCCCAUCCCAUCUCCCACUGGGCUGUGGCUGCCACCAUGAGAGAAGAGCCAACUGGGUUGAAACUCUAGCACAAGCUAGAAAAUUGGUUUUUUGAAUGCAUCUCUCCAUAACAGCUUAUUUGGUUGCAGUUUUUUUCUUUCUAAAGAUGUGGUAGAAGCAUUCUCAUUAAUAGAGAGCUGUGAUUCACCCAGUUUCAGGUAAUUAAGGCUUUCCUCUUCAUCUCAGAAUCUCAUUCACACCCNNNNNNNNNNNNNNNNNNNNNNNNNNNNNNNNNNNNNNNNNNNNNNNNNNNNNNNNNAAAAAACCAACCCGUGACAGUAUGACUUUCAUUCUCCUUCAGAUAUUUAGUGCACCUGAAAGAUGAAAGAAGGAGCAAUAACCACAUUCAAUUGAGCAGUUAUGAACCAUAGGACCCUAAGGAAAGCCGCUGACAUCAGAGAUACGUUGCAUAGUGUACAACCUGAACAACUGUCUAUGGCUGCCUUGCUCCCACAGUUCUCUGUACCUCCCGUUAGAGUAGCAGCUACCUUGAAUGGUACAGAGAAAAGUGACUCAACCUGGCUUUUACAACUAGCCUGUGGCACAACCUUGGGUAAAUUUCAGAUCCAGUUACUUUCCAGAGCUUUCCAAGCCACCCUCUCAUCCUACCAGUAUCUGCCCGGGAGAUAA